GUCCUAGCCGUAAACGAUGGACACUAGGUGUGGGGAGGAUCACCUUUCCGUGCCGCAGCUAACGCAUUAAGUGUCCCGCCUGGGGAGUACGGCCGCAAGGCUAAAACUCAAAGGAAUUGACGGGGGCCCGCACAAGCAGCGGAGCAUGUGGCUUAAUUCGAAGCAACGCGAAGAACCUUACCAGUGCUUGACAUGUAGGUGAAGCAGUGGAAACACCGUGGCCGAAAGGAGCCUACACAGGUGGUGCAUGGCUGUCGU
rnacentral:rRNA from 1 species